rnacentral:rRNA from 1 species
CGGGUGGUAAUGCCGGAUGCUCCGACUCCUCGCAUGGGGUGUCGGGAAAGAUUUCAUCGGUAUGGGAUGGGGUCGCGUCCUAUCAGGUAGUCGGCGGGGUAACGGCCCACCGAGCCUACGACGGGUAGCCGGCCUGAGAGGGCGACCGGCCACAUUGGGACUGAGAUACGGCCCAGACUCCUACGGGAGGCAGCAGUGGGGAAUAUUGCACAAUGGGCGCAAGCCUGAUGCAGCGACGCCGCGUGCGGGAUGACGGCCUUCGGGUUGUAAACCGCUUUUGAUCGGGAGCAAGCCUUCGGGUGAGUGUACCUUUCGAAUAAGCACCGGCUAACUACGUGCCAGCAGCCGCGGUAAUACGUAGGGUGCAAGCGUUAUCCGGAAUUAUUGGGCGUAAAGGGCUCGUAGGCGGUUCGUCGCGUCCGGUGUGAAAGUCCAUCGCUUAACGGUGGAUCUGCGCCGGGUACGGGCGGGCUGGAGUGCGGUAGGGGAGACUGGAAUUCCCGGUGUAACGGUGGAAUGUGUAGAUAUCGAAAAAAAAACACCA